GACGAACGCUGGCGGCGUGCCUAAUACAUGCAAGUCGAACGCAGUGGGGACGGGUGAGUAACACGUGGGUAACCUCCCAUCAGAGUUGAUAACACUUGGAAACAGGUGCUAAACCGAUACUGAUGUAUGUUCCCGCGUUGCAUUAGCUAGUUGGUGAGGUAACGGCUCACCAAGGCCACGAUGCAUAGCGGACCGGAGAGGGUGAUCGGCCACACUGGGACUGAGACACGGCCCAGACUCCUACGGGAGGCAGCAGUAGGGAAUCUUCGGCAAUGGACGAAAGUCUGACCGAGCAACGCCGCGUGAGUGAAGAAGGUUUUCGGAUCGUAAAACUCGGUUGUUAGGGAGGCGGUAUCUAACCAGAAAGCCACGGCUAACUACGUGCCAGCCGCCGCGGUAAUAC
rnacentral:rRNA from 1 species